ensembl:snoRNA
GGCCUCUCUCUCUUGGGGUUGUGGAGGGUCCAGGUUUUCCUCAGGCAAGGAUGGAGGCCAACAAAAGCCCCUAAAGACCAUUGUCAGGACUGCCAUGAGUGGGCAGCCUUGUUUUCCUGCCUCAGUAAUUU